rnacentral:rRNA from 1 species
AACGAACGCUGGCGGCAGGCUUAACACAUGCAAGUCGAACGCAUCCUUCGGGGUGAGUGGCAGACGGGUGAGUAACGCGUGGGAACGUGCCCUUCAGUUCGGGAUAACCCAGGGAAACUUGGGCUAAUACCGGAUACGUGCGAGAGCAGAAAGAUUUAUCGCUGAAGGAUCGGCCCGCGUCUGAUUAGCUAGUUGGUGGGGUAAUGGCCCCCCAAGGGGACGAUCAGUAGCUGGUCUGAGAGGAUGAUCAGCCACAUUGGGACUGAGACACGGCCCAAACUCCGACGGGAGGCAGCAGUGGGGAAUAUUGGACAAUGGGCGCAAGCCUGAUCCAGCCAUGCCGCGUGAGUGAUGAAGGCCUUAGGGUUGUAAAGCUCUUUCGUCCGGGACGAUAAUGACGGUACCGGAAGAAGAAGCCCCGGCUAACUUCGUGCCAGCCGCCGCCGUAA